rnacentral:rRNA from 1 species
GACGAACGCUGGCGGCGUGCUUAACACAUGCAAGUCGAACGGAAAGGCCCUGCUUGCAGGGUACUCGAGUGGCGAACGGGUGAGUAACACGUGGGUGAUCUGCCCUGCACUUCGGGAUAAGCCUGGGAAACUGGGUCUAUUACCGGAUAGUAGCCAUUUUCAGUGUGAUGGUUGGAAAGUCUUUUCGGUGUAGGAUGAGCUCGCGGCCUAUCAGCUUGUUGGUGGGGUAAUGGCCUACCAAGGCGGCGACGGGUAGCCGGCCUGAGAGGGUGGACGGCCACAUUGGGACUGAGAUACGGCCCAGACUCCGACGGGAGGAAGCAGGGGGGAAUAUUGCACAAGGGGCGCAAGCCUGAUGCAGAGACGCCGCGUGGGGGAUGACGGCCUUCGGGUUGUAAAAUCCUUUCGCUAGGGACGAAGCUUUUUGUGACGGUACCUAGAUAAGAAGCACCGGCUAACUACGUG